GACAGAGGGUGCAAACGUUGUUCGGAAUUACUGGGCGUAAAGCGCGUGUAGGCUGCUCAGAAAGUCGGAUGUGAAAGCCCUGGGCUUAACCUAGGAAGUGCAUUCGAAACUUCUGAGCUUGAGUUCUGGAGAGGAAGGCGGAAUUCUCGGUGUAGAGGUGAAAUUCGUAGAUAUCGAGAGGAACACCGGUGGCGAAGGCGGCCUUCUGGACCGACAUUGACGCUGAGGAGCGAAAGCCAGGGGAGCAAACGGG
rnacentral:rRNA from 1 species